GAUGAACGCUGGCGGCGUGCCUAACACAUGCAAGUCGAGCGAACUGAUUAGAAGCUUGCUUCUAUGACGUUAGCGGCGGACGGGUGAGUAACACGUGGGCAACCUGCCUGUAAGACUGGGAUAACUUCGGGAAACCGAAGCUAAUACCGGAUAGGAUCUUCUCCUUCAUGGGAGAUGAUUGAAAGAUGGUUUCGGCUAUCACUUACAGAUGGGCCCGCAGUGCAUUAGCUAGUUGGUGAGGUAACGGCUCACCAAGGCAAACAUGCAUAGCCGACCGGGGAGGGUGAUCGGCCACACUGGGACUGAGACACGGCCCAGACUCCGACGGGAGGCAGCAGUAGGGAAUCUUCCGCAAUGGACGAAAGUCUGACGGAGCAACGCCGCGUGAGUGAUGAAGGCUUUCGGGUCGUAAAACUCUGUUGUUAGGGAAGAACAAGUACAAGAGUAACUGCUUGUGCCUUGACGGUACCUAACCAGAAAGCCACGGCUAACUACGUGCCAGCCGCCGCCGUAACAC
rnacentral:rRNA from 1 species